CCUACGGGAGACAGCAGUGAGGAAUAUUGGUCAAUGGACGAGAGUCUGAACCAGCCAAGUAGCGUGAAGGAUGACUGCCCUAUGGGUUGUAAACUUCUUUUAUAUGGGAAUAAAAUGUUCCACGUGUGGGAUUUUGUAUGUACCAUAUGAAUACGGAUCGGCUAACUCCGUGCCAGCAGCCGCGGUAAUACGGAGGAUCCGAGCGUUAUCCGGAUUUAUUGGGUUUAAAGGGAGCGUAGGUGGAUUGUUAAGUCAGUUGUGAAAGUUUGCGGCGCAACCGUAAAAUUGCAGUUGAAACUGGCAGUCUUGAGUACAGUAGAGGUGGGCGGAAUUCGUGGUGUAGCGGUGAAAUGCUUAGAUAUCACGAAGAACUCCGAUUGCGAAGGCAGUUCACUGGACUGCAACUGACACUGAGGCUCGAAAGUGUGGGUAUCAAACAGGAUUAGAUACCCCGGUAGUC
rnacentral:rRNA from 1 species